GCAUUUUUUGGCCUAUAAGUUCAAAAACACGCGUGUUUUUACUCAAAUACAAAUUACCCACCUAAAUUCCCCCAUUCUCUUCUCUCAUACGGACCUAAACUGACAGUACCGGACCACAACCGGAAACCGUCGGGAGCCACCAGACCACCGCCUGAAACACCAAACCAUCGGCUCCAUAUUUGCUCCUUCACGAUCUCCCCAACCUCUAAUCCUCCCACAAUCGGAAGCCAACUCCUCAUCCUUCUUCUCCGGAGAAAUGUUGCACCGGCCACCUGAACAAAUCGCCAAAUCAUCAUACCGUCGUCGGAAACCACUAGGCAGCGGCUGGGAACCACCAAAUCGCCGUCAGACACCAGCAGCUCUAGAUUUAUUCGUUCGCCACCUCCCUCCGCCUCUACUCCUCUUAUAAUCAGAAACUACCACCUCCACCUUCUUCUCCGACGAAAUAUUGUGGCAACCUCCUAAAAAUAUUACUCAGCUUCUCGUCUCAACUUCUUAAACCUUCUCUUUUUGUCAUUCCUCUCUCCUGAACGACCGUCAUGAAGCACCAACACGAACCGCUGCUCUGAGCCACGAUUUGGUUUGUUGGAGAAGCUAAAGUGGAUCCGUUUUCAUAAGAUCUGAAGCAUAUGUACUUCAGCAAUCAUGAAAUUUUCCGCCCUCAACUAUUAAAUCUAGGGCAAAAUACCACCAGAUCUAGAGCAACCACAUCUAAUUUCGUUUGAUAAACAGUUAGGGAAGGAAAUGGAUUUGUCUUCGUGAUUGAAAUUGAGGAAGGGGGAGCAAUUCUCCUUGUGCAUCGACGCCAACACCAAAUUAUGUAUAAAAUUAGGGAAUGCAGGUGUUUAGAGGGAAGACCUAGUGAUCCAUGAACGUACUCUUAUGCUUAACGCCUUGUACGUUGGGAGUUUCUACCAGUUCUCCCAAAUAAGGAAAAGGCUCGACAAAGUGAUAACGUUUUCGGAAAGGAAAGGAUCUAUCUUGCUUAUGCUAGCUAAUUUCCAAGUUCAAGUAGGUGAGUUACACUAACUCUCCUAUUAUGUAGGCAUUACUUAUUUUAUGUUAGUGUUCACGGAUACCCUAAUCCGGUAGAGUGAACAAGGAAAGGUAGAAUGUAGGUUGUUUUCUAGUAAGAAAAGCAGUCAAUAUUCGUUUAUGCAUUCUCGAUUCUUUAAUUGUUCUCGUGUAUUAAAUCACAUGUGAUUAUAUGAUCUAAUCAUAUAUGACGUAUAUGCACAAGAUUCAUUUUUUUGUUUUUGAUUCAAUAGUUGUUCUUUGUUCAUAUUAAUUGUAUGUGAUUAAAUACAUAAAAUAACAUAUGAUUAAAUACAUGAUAACAACUAUUAAAUUGAGAACGCAAAUUUUAAUCUUAUUCACAUAAAUCAUAUGUGAUUAGAUAUGUAUAAUCACAUGUGAUUAAAUACACGAGAACAACUAUUGAAUCGAGAACACGAAAAUAAAUAUCGCCCACAUAAAUCGUAUGAGAUUUGAUACAUAUAAUAACAUGCGAUUGUGUGUAUCUUAUCACAUAUGAUUUAUGUGGCUAAGAUUCAUUUUCGCGUUCUCGAUUCAAUAAUUGUUUUUUUCGACUUUAAUCAUACGUGAUUAAAUUCAUUUAAUCAUAUGUGAUUAGAUAUAUACAAUCACAUGUAAUUAUAUACACAAUAACAAAUAUUGAACCAAGAACACAAAAAAAAUAUUUUCCCAAAUUAAUCAUAUGUGAUUAAAUACACAUAAUCACAUGUGAUUAUAUGAAUCUAAUCACAUAUGAUUUAUGUGGACAUAAUUCAUUUUUGCUUUGUCGAUUCAAUAAUUGUUCUCAUGUAUUUUAUCACAUGUGAUUAUAUGUAUAAUCGUAUAUGAUUGAGUACAUGAGCACAACUAUUGAAUCGAGAAGGAAAAAAUUAAUCUUGUCCACCUCAAGUCAUAUGCGAUAAUAUACAUAUAAUCAUAUGUGAUUAAAUAUACAAAAGCAAUUAUUCAAUCGAAACUGCAAAAAUAAAUAUUGUCUACAUAAAUCAUAUCUGAUUAAAUACAUAUAAUCACAUGUGAUUAUAUAUAUCCAAUCAUAUAUGAUUUAUGUGGAUGAGAUUCAUUGUCACAUUCUUGAUUCAGUAAUUCUUCUUUGUACACUGUAAUCAUAUGUGGUUAUAUGUAUCCAAUCACAUAUGAUUUAUAUAGACAAAAAAUAAUGAUGUCUAUAUAAAUCAUAUGUGAUUAGAUACAUAUAAUCACAUAUGAUUAUAUACACGACAACAACUAUUGAAUCGAGAACACAAAGAUAAAAUUGUCCAUAUAUAUAUCAUGUGUGAUUAAAUGCAAAUAAUCACAUGUGAUUAAGUACAUGAAUACAACUAUUGAAUUGAGAAAGAAAUAAUGAAUCUUGUCCAUAUAAAUCAUAUGUGAUUAAAUAUAUAAAAUAACAUAUGAUGAAAUACAUGAUAACUAUUGAAUUGAGAACGGAAAUUUUAAUCUUAUUCACAUAAAUCAUAUAUGAUUAGAUAUGUAUAAUCACAUGUGAUUAAAUACACGAGAACAACUAUUGAAUCUAGAACACGAAAAUAAAUAUCGCCCACAUAAAUCGUAUGAGAUUGGAUACAUAUAAUAACAUGUGAUUGUGUGUAUCUUAUCACAUAUGAUUUUCGUGGCUAAGAUUCAUUUUCGCAUUCUCGAUUCAAUAAUUGUUUUUUUCCACUUUAAUCAUACGUGAUUAAAUUUAUUUAAUCAUAUGAGAUUAGAUAUAUACAAUCACAUGUAAUUAUAUACAUAAUAAGAAAUAUUGAACCAAGAACACAAAAACAAAUAUUUUUCAAAAUUAAUCAUAUGUGAUUAAAUACACAUAAUCUCAUGUGAUUAUAUGAAUCUAAUCACAUAUGAUUUCUGUGGACAUAAUUCAUUUUUGCUUAGUCAAUUCAAUAGUUGUUCUCAUGUAUUGUAUCACAUGUGAUUAUAUGUAUAAUCGUAUGUGAUUGAGUACAUGAGCUCAACUAUUGAAUCGAGAAGGCAAAAUUUAAUCUUGUCCACCUCAAGUAAUAUGUGAUGAUAUACAUAUAAUCAUAUGUGAUUAAAUAUACAAAAGCAAUUAUUCAAUCGAAACCACAAAAAUAAAUAUUGUCUACAUAAAUCAUAUCUAAUUACAUACAUAUAAUCACAUGUGAUUAUAUUUAUCCAAUCAUAUAUGAUUUAUAUGGAUGAGAUUCAUUGUCACAUUCUCGAUUCAAUAAUUGUUCUUUGUCCACUGUAAUCAUAUGUGAUUAUAUGUUUCCAAUCACAUAUGAUUUAUAUGGACAAAAAUAAUCAUGUCUAUCUAAAUCAUAUGUGAUUAGAUACAUAUAAUCACAUAUGAUUAUAUACACGAGAACAACUAUUGAAUCGAGAACACAAAGAUAAAUAUUGUCCACAUAUAGCAUGUGUGAUUAAAUGAAAAUAAUCACAUGUGACUAAGUACAUGAGUACAAUUAUUGCAUUGAGAAAUAAAUAAUGAAUCUUGUCCACAUAAAUCAUAUGUGAUUAGGUACAUAUAAUCCCAUAUGAUUAUAUGUAUUUAAUCACAUAUGAUUUAUGUGGACAAUAUUCAUUUUUGAAAUGACCAAUCGGUGGUGGAAAAGGAGAUGGGGAUGUAUAGCGGUGGUGGUGGUGGUGGAGGAGCUUAGGUGGGUGGUGGUGAUGGGUGGUGGGUGAUGAGUGGCGGGUGGUUGUUGGUGUUGGUGGGUGGUGGUUGUGAUGGGUGGUGGUGGUGGUGGCGGGUGGUGGUGGGAGGUGGUUAGUAGUGGUUGUGGUUGUAGGUGAUGGGUGAUGGUUGUGGUGGAUGGGUGGUGGUGGUAGCGAGUGGUGGUGGGUGGUGUGUAGUGAUGGGUGGUGGUUGGUGGUGGUGGUGAGUAGUGAUGGGUGGUGGUGGUUUGAUGGUGAUGGUGGUGGGUGGUGAUGGUUGUAGCGAGUAGUGGUUGGUGGUGGUGAUGGGUGGGUGGUGGGUAGUGAUGGGUGGUGGUGGUUAGUGAUCGGUGGUGGUGGUGGUGGGAGAUGGUAAUGGGUGGUAGGUAGUGAUUGUGGGUGGUGGUGGUGGUGGGUGGUGGAAGUGGGUAGAGGUGGUUGGGUGGUGAUGGUGGUAGCGGGUGGUGGUGGUGGUGGUGGUGGUGGUGGGUGGUGGGUGGUGGAUAUGUUGGGUGGCAGGUAGUGGUCGUGGCGGGUAGUGGGUGGUGGUGAUUGUGGUGAUGGGUGUUGGAGGUGGGUGGUGGUGACGGGUGGUGGUGGUGGCGGGUGGUGGUGGUCGUGGCGGGUGGUGGUGGCUAGUGAUGGGUGGUGGGUGGAGGGUGGUGGUUGGUGGUGGUGGAUAGUGAUGGGUGGUGGUGGCGGGUGGUGGUGAUGGGUGGUAGAGGUGGGUGGUGGUAGUUGGGUGGUGAUGGUUGUGGCUGGUGGUGGUGGUGGUAGUUAAGAUGGAAUACCCUUAACUACCAAUCAACCAUGUGCACAUAUAUCAGAUGCAACAGUAACAGGAAUGGUUAACAAAAUGCUAUAUGCAAUAAAAGUAUUUGGGUAACAAUCAACAGCUUACAUAAUCCAAAAUUUCAACAGCGGAAAUUAUAUCAUUAGGUAAAGUCAUUUUCAACACUUUCAAUUCUGAAAAAUGUUCACUUUUGAAUCCACAUCAGAAACAUUAUCUUUAGAAAAAGUAGUAGCAAACUUUAUACAACUUUCUUUAAGUUCACUUUCACUUAAUGCCUUUAAUUUCUUUGAAUCAUUUAAAAACCCAAAAAUACUUUCAAAGUUUUUUAAUUGUUCAAAUCUAUUUUUUAAUGAAACAAUUGCCAUAUCCACAACAACCAAAAAAUAAUUAACUUUUAAAUACUCUUCAACCGAUUAUGUUUCUUCUUCAUGAUCACUUUCAUCAAAUUGCUUUUUUCUAACAAUACGACGUUUUGAUGGAAAUGUUGGCUCCACACCCAUAUCUAGUGCAAUAGUUUUAGCAACAUUCACACUUGAUGUAAAACCUUCAUUUCUAUAUUUUUCAAAAAACUUCAUAAUAUUUUCUAUUUGGUUAAUAGUAGUGUCAAUACAAAUAGAUUUAGAUUGCAACUUUUUACUUAUAAUAUUUAUAGCAAAUAAAACUUCAUACCAAAUAACCAUACCAACUAAAAAUUCAAAUUUCCAAAAAGAUUUAAGUAAGCUUUUAGCUUCACUUUUUGACUUAGGGUCAUCACAUGCUUUACAUAAUUUUAGCAAAGCAACUUUUAUUUUAGGAGCUUGAAAUCUAAUUGCUUUUAUACUUUUAAUCCUACUUUCCCAACGAGUAUUAGAUAAUGAUUUUAAGGUUAAAGUUGGAACAUUAUCUAACAAUAUUUUCCAUUUUUUUGUAGAACUAGAAAAUAAUGUAUAAAGGCGUUGCACGAUUCCAAAAAAAAGAAACAGCUUUUUCACAAGAAAGUGCCAUAUCACUAACCGUAAGGUUAAGACUAUGGCAAACACAAGGCAUAUAUAAAGCUCUAGGAUUAAUUUCAAGCAUUCUUUUUUGAACCCCUUGGUGUUUUCCUUUCAUAUUAGACUCAUUAUCAUAACCUUUACCCCUUAUAUCAUCCACAUUAAGAUCUAACAAUUUCAAUGCAUCUAACAAUUCAUUCAAAAAUCCCAAACCCGAAGUAUCAUCUACUUUUAAAAAUUCUAAAAAAUAUUCAACAACUUGUAUUUUUUAGAAGAAAAAUUCACACAUCGUACAAUCAAAGCCAUUUGUUCUUGAUGACUCACAUCGGGAGUACAAUCAAGAAUUAUAGAAAAAUAUUUUGCCUCUUUAACUAUUUUAAUGAUAGAAUUUCUAACCGUGUCACCUAAAAGAGAAAUUAGUUCAUUUUGAAUUUUAUAGCCAAGACAAUGAUAAUGAGUUUCAUUAUUUUCAAUUAUUCUUAUAUGAUCUUGCAUUAUACCAUCAUAUUCAACCAUCAUUUGGAUUACUCCUAAAAAGUUAUCUUGAAAAAGUUUUUCAUUAGACCCUCGAAAAGCCAAAUUAUAUUUAGAUAAGAAUUUCACAGCCGCUAUUAUUCUUCUUAAUACUUGUCUCCAACGUUAUUUUUCUUUUAUUAUUUCUUGUUGUAAUUCGUUAUCAAUUGUAAGGUUUUUAUCUAAUCUUAGUUUUGCUUCAUUCCAAUUACUGAUACAAACAAAAUGUUCAUUACUAUUUUCAUGUUCUUUAAGUCUCUCACUAAGAUGUUUCCAAUCAUUAUAUCCUUCAUUUGUUAAAAACUUUUUUGAUUAGUACAUUUAAAUAUUUUACAACAAAAACAAAAAACUUUAUCUAAAUUUUUAUUGUAUACAUUUCGAUCACGUGACAAACCAUUAUUUAACUUUCUAGUAUAAAAUGCAUAAGAAAAAUGUCUAGAAAAUUUAUCUUUAGGAAACACAGAUUCAUUUCUCUUAUUGGCCAUUUUUCAAUUAAAAUAUCUCUUGAUUUAAUAUCAAGAGAAUCUCAAUUUCUAGGGUCAAAAAUAUCUAUAGAUUCAUUUAAAUUAGUAUUUUCUUCAUUUAUAUUAGUAUCAUGUUCAUUUAAAUUAAUAUUUUCUUCAUUCAAAUUAUUAUCAUGUUCAUUUAAAUUAAUGUUUUCUUCAUUAACAAUAGCAAAGUGAGAAUUGAGAUUUAAGAAUUGAGAAACCGGAAACCAAAUAUAUCUAUUAUCUAGAGUCGAGACAAUUAGCCGUUAGAGAUUAAAGACUGUGAUUUGUGAGAGAAAUUGAUGGGACGAUUCAGUAUCAGGGACGUGAGGCGUCGUCGCGUCGAUUCAAUUACCUGGCACCCUAAUCUCGAUUUCCCAUAUUCCCCGCUACCUUCCUUGGUAUGGUUCCUAUUUGAUAAUUCAUUAUUCAUGGAAAUCAAAAUCACGUUCAACUUCAGCGACAUAAAGAUCAAGCGGCUUAGCAGCCUUAUUAAUUUGUUUGGGCCGUAUUAAUUUUUUUGGGACUUGGGUCAAUGUGAUUUUGGACUGGACAUUUGACUAAUUUUGGGCCCUAAGGAAAUAUAUAGAUAAAUUAAAGUUAUAUACAUACACACUAUAUAUUUUAGAAUUUUUGGGCCCCCUUGAGUCAUAGGCCUAGGGCGGUCGUACGGGUCGCCCACCGUCAGGACCGGCCCUGAUACUUGGUGACCGAUUAUAUUCUCCUUCUCACCAGAAAAAUAAACCUAUAAAUCGAAAGGAAAAAUGAACAAAAUCCAAGCCCGUAAAUCUAAAAAAAUAUAGAAAAAAAAACAAUGGUUUUAAGGGUACCCCUAAAGUUUUAGUGUACUUUAUAGCAUAAAAGUUGACACAAAGUCAUUCGCAGUCAGUUUCCAUCUUUAGGCCUCCAUCAUAUCCCUUUCAUCUUCACUUAAACCAAGUUCAUGUUAUAACUUCUACAUUAAUAGAGAGAUAUUAUUAGUCAAAAAUCAGUUUGAAACCCAUAAAACUUAAAGAUUUAAAAAAAAUAUAUAUUCUAGUUGAAAUACUAUAAAAAUAUUAUACAUUCAACACAUUUUGAAGUCAAGUUGAAGCUCUCGACAUCUUCAUCUAUAGCUUUACCUAGAAACAUGACCUUACUAGUCCCAUUAAGUCCAUAAACAACUAACACGAACUGAAAUAAAAUAAAAUAAAGACAUUGUUAUUAAAGUUUUCAUUGUGUUACCUGGUGAGUUAAAAAAAAUGGUGUGAUAAAAUCAAUUGAAUGAUUCUUAUUUCUUGGCUAUAACUUCUACUACAUAGAACCUCUCUCAUGUAAAAGCACUCACUUCCAAUAUAUAAACACCAUGCACAAGAAAAUAACAAAUAUUAAUUUCAAUCCAUAAUUAAAAUAGUAUUUUCUUACCAUAGUAAUUGAAUUAUGUCAGAAAUUACAAGGAUGGCUGGUAAAAUCUUUGGUAAUGAAAACAUUCAUUCUUCCCCUGUUUCAAUAAAACUCUGAUUCAAAAGCUUGAAAAAACCCACAAAUGGCAUGUUUUACUAUAAUCUUUGGUAACCAAGCUUGUCCUAAGUUUGAAAGGAUAAUUUGAUCUUGCGAAAGAAAAUAAAAAAGGGAUGUAUGUCAUUUCAUGCAUUGUAUAGUAAUUAAAGUUACAAAUUUGUAGACAUCUUGUGCCUCCCAGCUUACAUCAGCAUUACUGAAAGUUUAAGAAGAUAUAUGUAAUUUACUUUUUGACCAA